rnacentral:lncRNA from 1 species
AAAUUAAUGAAGAGUUAGAAGACACAUAAAAUUCUACACAAUUUAUCUUAAAUCAUGCAAAUCCACACUCAUACAAACAAACUGCAAUUAAGAGAAAUGUUGGGCAGGCAAGAGGGCCCAGCAGGUUUAAGAACCUACUAGCAAGCCUGAUGAUCUGAGUUCAAUCCCCUGAACUCACAUGGCGGGAAGAGAAAACAGACUCCAAGUUGUCUUGUGACCUCCACAUUUGCACACACCCAUCAAACUUGGAUGCACACACAUAUAAUAAAUGUUAAAACUCCCAAUGAGAAAAAGUGUUAAGGCCAGGCAGUGGUGGGGAAUGCCUUUAAUCCCAGCACUUGAGAAGCAGGUGGAUCUAUGUGAGUUGGAGGCCAGCCUGAUCUACAGAGUGAGUUCCAGGAUAGCCAAGGCUACACCGAGAAACCCUGUCUUGAAAUAAAAAACAAAAACAAGCAAAAAACAACAAAACAAAACAACACCAAAAAUUUAUUGGAAUAGUUUAAAAUGUGAACAGAAUACUGGGUUUGUAAAAUGCCUUUAUUUCAGUCCUGGCCCUGAGACUGUCUUGUGCCUGAGAUAUCAUCGUUGUGGUUAGCUGCCUUUUGAGCCCCAUCUCUAACCUUAAGUGCUUUGACACAUGGCCCUCUGCGUUCGUGGUUGAUUGGCACAAUCAUCCUACAUACACAGCGUCCCUUGAGGCAGUGGUGGCACAAGGCCUCAGUAGGGUUGAGGGGCCUGGCUCUGUCAGCUUCUGUGUCUGGCAGUUCUCUAUGUCCGGGUGCAUCCACAUCUUGGGAAUCACCUAAAACCAGAAUGAUCUGCAGAGACCUCAAGGAAGAUUACCAGCGCCAACUCAGUGUUAUUCUGUGGGUCUCAUCCUCCAUGACAGGGCUUGGUAGACUCUGGUCUCCGAGACAAAUCUAGAUGUUGAUAGUAUUCAGAAAUGAUGUGUUCUUGGAGCACAGCUGUGUUUACUUAUUUUAAUAUUCUCUCUAACUUCUUUCCUGCCACAGUGGCAGAAUGAAGUAAGUUGCUGUAAAAGAGACCUCCACAACUCACAAAACAGCCACAUUUACUAUCUGAUCAUUCAUAGGACAAAUUUACCAAUUUUUGCCGCAGUUGGCUAGCCUUGGGAUAUCACCAUGAUUAUGACAAAGAAAUAGGGGAGGAAAUGGAGUCCUAUAAACUGCCUUCCAAGAAAACAUCAGUCUGUCAUGCCAACUAACAUGCCAAUAAACGAAGAAAGUCCUAUGCCAUACAGCUGACCUCAAAAUCAAAGUGUUUAGACUCAGGUUCCCGAGUGGCAGCAACCUCAGCAUCACAAGGCACACGCAACAGAUGACUCACCUCCUGCUCUCUCCAUUACAGUGAAGUAGAUGAUGGAAAUGGUCAGUGACUCUGAAAAUUCUAUCCUGGAGGUAGGUGUUGAUCUACUCAUUUGGAGUGAUAGAAUGGGAGCGUCAACGUGCAGGAGAAACUACAGUAGAUAACCCGUGACCUCACUAAUGAGGUCAGAGAUGAUUUGUGAGCUAAAUAGCAUUUUGUGGGUUUCAUGCCUUAGAAUAAUAAUGGUUAAAUUAAUUUUCUCUGAAUCAAUGUCAAGUCAUCAAAACAUCAUAAACACUCCAAAAUAUUAAAUAAAUAUUGAGUUCUCCCCAUAUGAAGAUUUUUCUCUCCUCAUUUUUUUCUUCAGGUGGGAAAUGUAAUGUCACUUGAAUAGACCAGCCAUUGACAGAUAUUAGUGUCAGGUGUGUGACAAGCUGAAUGAACAGAAGCCAAUGAGGUGGGAUUCCUUGCCCUACUCAUUCUGGGUUCCCAAAAUCUGGACCCUGAGAGUUAGAUUCCUGCAAGCCAAACCUCAGUAC